UGGAGCGAGAAAGUGGAGCAAUCCAUGAGUAAAGUGGCGACCGGGCUGAGUAACACGUGACUAACCUACCUCCGAAUGGGGAAUAACUCCGGGAAACCGGGGCUAAUACCGCAUAACACCGCAAGGUCAAAGCAGCAAUGCGUUUGGAGAGGGGGUCGCGGCUGAUUAGCUAGUUGGCGGGGUAACGGGCCACCAAGGCGAAGAUCGGUAUCCGGCCUGAGAGGGCGCACGGACACACUGGAACUGAAACACGGUCCAGACUCCUACGGGAGGCAGCAGUGGGGAAUUUUGCGCAAUGGGGGAAACCCUGACGCAGCAACGCCGCGUGGAGGAUGAAGCCCCUUGGGGCGUANACUCCUUUCGACCAAGACGAUAAUGACGGUACUGGUGGAAGAAGCACCGGCUAACUCUGUG
rnacentral:rRNA from 1 species